AAAUUCUUAACGGCCGCGGCACUAAAACCGUGCAAAGGUAGCACAAUCACUUGUCCCUUAAAUGAGGACCCGUAUGAAAGGCAACAUGAGAGAAGACCUGUCUCCUAAGGCCAGCCAAUGAAAUUGAACUGCCAGUACAAAAGCUGGUAUUUACAAGCAAGACAAAAAGACCCUAUGGAACUUUAACAAAUUAUUUAUGUAACAUAAAUUAUAGUUUCAGUUGGGACAACUUUAGAGAAAAUUAACCUCUUAAUAAUACACAGACCAACAAGUCUACCCACCCGACCCAGUCACACUGAUUAACGAAACAAGCUACCCUAGGGAUAACAGCGCCACCUUCUCAAAGAGUCCAUAUCAACAAGAAGAUCUACGACCUCGAUGUUGGAUCAGGGUACCCUGACGGUGCAGCAGCUGUCAACGGUUCGUUUGUUCAACGAUUAAUACCC
rnacentral:rRNA from 2 species